rnacentral:rRNA from 1 species
GAUGAACGCUGGCGGCGUGCCUAAUACAUGCAAGUCGAGCGAACGGACGAGAAGCUUGCUUCUCUGAUGUUAGCGGCGGACGGGUGAGUAACACGUGGAUAACCUACCUAUAAGACUGGGAUAACUUCGGGAAACCGGAGCUAAUACCGGAUAAUAUUUUGAACCGCAUGGUUCAAAAGUGAAAGACGGUCUUGCUGUCACUUAUAGAUGGAUCCGCGCUGCAUUAGCUAGUUGGUAAGGUAACGGCUUACCAAGGCAACGAUGCAUAGCCGACCUGAGAGGGUGAUCGGCCACGCGGGGACUGAGGCACGGUCCAGGCUCCUACGGGAGGCAGCAGUAGGGAAUCUUCCGCAAUGGGCGAAAGCCUGACGGAGCAACGCCGCGUGAGUGAUGAAGGUCUUCGGAUCGUAAAACUCUGUUAUUAGGGAAGAACAUAUGUGUAAGUAACUGUGCACAUCUUGACGGUACCUAAUCAGAAAGCCACGGCUAACUACGUG